rnacentral:rRNA from 1 species
UACGUAGGCAGCGAGCGUUGUUCGGAGUUACUGGGCGUAAAGAGUGCGUAGGCGGUUUUCUAAGUUUGGUGUGAAAUCUCCCGGCUUAACUGGGAGGGUGCGCCGAAGACUGGAAGGCUUGAGUAUGGGAGAGGUAAGCGGAAUUCUCGGUGUAGCGGUGAAAUGCGUAGAUAUCGAGAGGAACACCUGCGGCGAAGGCGGGUUGCUGGGCUGACACUGACGCUGAGGCGCGAAAGCUAGGGGAGCGAACGGG